rnacentral:rRNA from 1 species
UACAGAGGGUGCGAGCGUUAAUCGGAAUUACUGGGCGUAAAGCGCGCGUAGGCGGCUUUGCAAGUCGGGUGUGAAAUCCCCAGGCUUAACCUGGGAACUGCAUUCGAGACUGCAUUGCUAGAGUAUGGGAGAGGGAAGUGGAAUUUCCGGUGUAGCGGUGAAAUGCGUAGAUAUCGGAAGGAACAUCAGUGGCGAAGGCGGGUCUCUGGGCCGAUAUCGACGCUGAGGAGCGAAAGCGUGGGGAGCGAACAGG